rnacentral:rRNA from 1 species
UUCGUGUGAACAGUGGUUGAUCACGAGUUAGUCGGUCCUAAGUUCAAGGCGAAAGCCGAAAAUUUUCAAGUAAAAAUAUAUUGGAAUAAUUAAAUAUAUACUAUUAUUUUAUAUAAUAACUAUAUAUAAUGUUGUACAUUUUUAAAAUACUUGAAUAAUUUUGAACGAAAGGGAAUACGGUUCCAAUUCCGUAACCUGUUGAGUAUCCGUUUGUUAUUAAAUAUGGGCCUCGUGCUCAUCCUGGUAACAGGAACGACCAUAAAGAAGCCGUCGAGAGAUAUCGGAAGAGUUUUCUUUUCUGUUUUAUAGCCGUACCACCAUGGAAGUCUUUCGCAGAGAGAUAUGGUAGAUGGGCUAGAAGAGCAUGACAUAUACUGUUGUGUCGAUAUUUUCUCCUCGGACCUUGAAAAUUUAUGGUGGGGAUACGCAAACUUCUCAACAGGCCGUACCAAUAUCCGCAGCUGGUCUCCAAGGUGAAGAGUCUCUAGUCGAUAGAAUA